rfam:Pleurotus ostreatus PC15 unplaced genomic scaffold scaffold_08, whole genome shotgun sequence.
GGCGUCUUAGCUCAGCUGGGAGAGCAGCAGACUGAAGAUCUGAAGGUCCCGUGUUCAAGCCACGGAGAUGCCA